UGUAAGAAAAGUAACAAAAAUCCUCUGUCCAACUGGAGACUUUUUCAUGUCUGUUCCCUCGCUAGUACGUCACUAAAUUUGCUGACUGAAAAGAGAUGGUUGGUAUUUACCAGGGCGAUAUUUGAUGGAAAUUCUCUACAAGCCUGUCUUUAACUGGAGAUGUCCUGGACUAACUGAAAAAUGAGCUGUUUUCACUCAGUGCUUUCCUUUGAUUAAAAAAAAAAGUGGUCUGGAUCAGUUAGUCAAAUAAUGACAAGAAACACUUUCAGCUAAAUAUUUGCUGCUGUAUAUCACGUCAUUGCUCUCCAAGUUUCCUCGAUAGAAGUUUCUGGCUGACAGCAAGACAUGUACCUGAGGCACAGAGAGCAGAUAUUGACCAAAGCAUGCCUUUUUAAAACAACAAAAACCAACCCCCUCUUUUAUUACUCAUUACAACUUUCUUUUGUCGCUGUGUUUACAUUGGCCUCUAUUUAGAGCCCGGCGGCAAAAGGGAGGGUACUUUUUAGUGAUACACAGGAAGAUCUAUUUAUCCAAAACAGCUUUAAGAAUAAAGUGAGCCACUGGGGGUUAGUUUCCAUUCUGGGGCCCGACCCUGUAUUCCCUGUCCGACCCAAGUACAAGCCAGCGUGGAGUUCCAUGAACUCCGGGACAAUGAACUCCACCGGCAUCCUAGGUGCGCGAGGAAUGCGGGAUCGGGGCCCUAGCAGUCCUGUCGAUGCAGCCGGCAGCCUCGCUCCGCGAUUUCCAGCUCUUUGUGGUUAGCAAUAUUGUCUUAAGUAACUUUUGGCGCCCUUCGUAAGACUUUUGGACGUGGGACGAUUGUUUGCGCCCUCUAGGCAGAGGCUGCCUCCAAGUUCAGCACCAAACCCCCUUCACAUCCGCGUUCUCGAAUCCGGCACGCAUCGUGCACGCUUAAACUCUAGGAUCCGGAGCCUACAGAAAAGGAACCACGGACGCACAAGGAGGAGGCUGAUGCACGCACGGGGCCCACCCUUGGCCAAUGGCAGCUCCUGGAUUUCCCAUCAACGCGAGCUCCAGGAUCCGGCUCGAGCUGCAGCCGCGCCCGGGGCAGAGGGUCCACGUACAGUAGGCCCCAGCCCAGCGGCGGGAGGAAGAGGAGCGGGGUAUAUCCGUACGCAGUGCAAGUCCUUUCUGCAGGCGGACAUUGGGAUGGGGUCUAAGGAGAUGGUUUGCUGCGUGCUGUAGUGCGGGUGUCCGCCUUGCAGUGGAUCCUCUCCCUUUAAAAGCAAACAAACCCUACCGCUCUUUGCAAGUUACUUAGUUCAAGGAGACUGGCCGGGAGGUCGGCAGAGGCAUUUGCACUGGGUGGGGUAAAGUUCCUCUUAAAUGCAUUAAAUCUGCUGAGUUCAGAAAUCAAAUGCAACCAAACAAAAGGAUCCUGCUUGAUUCUAAUUUGAACUGUGCGUGUCCUCUGAACUGUUCGGAAAUAUGAAGGUGGGGUGGGUGAUCAUUACAGUCAUGGAUAAUGGUAAUAGCAGCCAUCGAAUUCCUGGCUGUAAAGUAUUCAACUUCUGCAGCACCCCAAAAAUAGGCCUGGUGUCACCCUUGCAAGACAUUGUGUCUGUUACCUAGCUUUGGACACGUUUGCAGGAUAACCCUGAUAUCUACAACUCCUAAAAUACAAUCUGCUAAACUUAAUUUAAAAAAAAUCUCCAAAGAGGGCAUGAGAAAUAGAAAGCUACCAGUCAGUUGUGUGUAGCUUUGAAUCAUAGAACCACAAGGUUAGAAGGGAUUGCAAAGGUCAUCUAGCCUAACCCGCAACUGUCCUUGAUGAUGAAGAGGCUUGUGUAAUUAACAGCAGACAGCAAAAGCAUUGCAUCGUGUAUUGGAAGCUUGAGAUCUCUUGACUUUGCAACAUCCAAAAAAAAAAAAACCCAAAAAACCAAACAGUUGAUAAUUUCUGGAACUUUAUAAUUAUUUUAAUAGUACAGUGUGGCCCUUUAGCUGAGUAAGGACUGCUGGGGUAUCAUUGUUACCCCCAAAAUAUUUAAUACUAUUAAGUGGAUGAGAUUAGAGCUUUAAAGAUCUACCAGACUGUAGUGUUAAUUAAAAUUGGUGAAUAAAGAUGGUAGCUACUGGUUAGCAUAAACUUCUGUUAUUUAGUGAGGGGCUUUUUUCGGAUAGUUCCUAUUAGCAAAUCAUCAAAUGAUGAAAUAUUAUCUGCAGAUUAAAUUAAACCAUCUAUGUUUUACCCAAGGGUGCUUGAGAACGUUGUUAAAAGAAACGUGACAAAGGAUUGUCUGCUAUGUUAUCAAGAGUUGUCAAAGAAUACUCUCAAUACAUUUCAAGAGGCUAAAAAAGGAUGCAGUGCCACUCAGGUUUGGCCUGUCUGCCCUGAAGGAGAUGAAGGGAACAUGGGCCAAGCCCUUGCUAUGACUCCAAGCACCAGGCUGCAACUUGCUUUGUGGCUCUUUGAAACUGGGGGUGAGGAGGCAAACUCUUCCCUCCCUGGUGGCCCUGAAUGUUCUGCUUCAACUGGGAUUGGGGCAAAGAGAGACUAUCCCUCCCGAAACCGGGACUGUUGGAACGUCUGUAGAUGGGCAGGUGUGCAAUAAUGACUUUGGAGGUAGAACAUGUUGAGUUUUUGGAAAGGAGGUGGGUCACAUAAGGGGGAAUUUAGACAGAAAACAAUUAGGUUUUUAUACAGCAUGGCAAUAUUAACAAAAACUGUGAUCAUUAGAGGCCUGAUCCUCCAAUGUGCUGACUACCUUAUUCAAGGUUCUGAGCAUGCUCAACUGCCAUGGGCCCCCAACCUUCCUAGGUGCUGACCACCAUCUGAGAAGCCCUGGACACUACUGACUUCAACUCACACCAAAGUCAAUGGGAACUGAGGGCACUCAGCUCCUCUCAGAGUCAGGACUUUGGGGCCUGUUUGCAAGCCCACUGAAGUCAAUAGAAAGCCUCCAAUUGGGUUAAGAUCAGUUCCUUAGAGACUUGCAUGCACUCUAUAGAGCUAAAUCCUCAGCACUUACUCUACAGCCCAUAAUUUGAUAUGUACCAUGAGGCAUUUCUUAUUCUAAUAAGAAUAUUUUGUGUGGUGGAGGGAAGCUGUUAGAUAUUGACUGAGUUGGCAUUACCCUUUCCCCCAGUUCUAUCAUUUGUUGCACAAAAGAUACUUCAAAAAAGGCUGACAAUACCCGUAUCUACUAUGAUACUUUCUUGGUGUGUUCAUUUCUAUUCUUUUAGAAGAAGCUGAAAAUAAGAUCACAGUCUGUGAGCUCAUUUGCGCACCAUAAGCCCUGAUCCCCAAUCUGGGGAUCUAGACACUGCUAUAAUAUAAAUUAUAAAAAUUUCUUAUGAAAGUGGUAUGCAACCCUUAAACAGCAGGAUAAGCCUGCAGAGACAGUAAACUGACAGGCUCAACUGUUUUAGAUUAAAUGAAUGCACACAUAGGUUUGAUGGAAAUCUGAUGCCAAAAUACUAAUUUAAAAUUACUUAAUUCCUGUGAAUAAUACAUUUUCACAUAUGCAGCUUUCUAUUUGCUUUGGACACGUACAUAGCACCAUCAUCCUAGUACUGCAUAAUCUUUAAUGUAUUCAUCUUCACCAUACCCCUGGAAGGUAGAGAAGUGCUAUUAUCUCCAUUUUAUAGAUGGGGAAGUAAAACUAAGAUCCUCAAAGUUAUUUUAGGCUCCUACAUCCCACUGAAGUCAAGUGACUUGUCCAAAGUCACACAAGAAGUCUGUGGUAGAGAAGGGAAUUGAACACAGGUCUACUGAAGUCCUAGGCUAGAGUUCUAACUAUUAGUCCCUCCUGCCAUACUAAAGCUUUCCAUUUUACAUUUUCACUAAUCCAGUCUUUGUUCUCGAGCAUAUUGAGGGGGAAAGUCCAUUUUGCUCCUGGUUCUAGCUGAUCACAGAAAAAUUCUGCAGAUUUUUCCAAAUGAGUUUGUACUUUUAUGUAUUGCAAGUUAUACAGAAAUAGCAACUUACAAUCAGAUGGGUUCAAACUAAUGAAAGGAAGAAAACAGGAAUCAGAGACAGAGAUCCAGAAUAAUCAUCAUUUUCUUUCCUUAUUUGAUUGUAGUUUUUACAAUUUAAUAAAUAGUGUUUCAGUUUAAAUAGUACUUUGAAAACAGGAUUUGUUUUGAAACCUACAACCUACAAAGUUCAUAGUGAAAAUCGUUUUGAUUUAAUAAAUUAAAGAUGCAUUAUUGACAAAAAUUAUUAUUAUUACUAUUUUAUUUGUAUUACAGUAGCACCUAGUCGGAGAUCAGAACCACGUGUUAGGCAUUGUUCAUAUAUGUACUAAAAAGACAGUCCCUGCCCCGGUAUGGUGCAAACCAUCAUCCUGCUUGUUAAACUACUAGGCCACAAACAUUACGUGUAAAGUAACAUACAGAUACUUUUUUUAUUCAGACACACUGUAUUAUUCAAUUCUCUCCUCUUUAUCUAAAACCGACAGACGUCUUUCUCAAGGGCAAUAAAUGACUCUGCAGUGGUACUGAGAGAUUACAGUCUCCAGUACUGAUGCAGCUUUCCUUCCAAAUCACAGUUCAGCAUAAAUAAUAUGUCUCAUAAUUUUGGACCUAAUCCUGCACUCUUCAGUAGUCAUUUUGCUCGAGUAAGGAGUGUUGGAUCAGUCAAAUUAUGAAAAUACUGUUAUGAGAUACCUACUAUAUAUUUUUAUACAUGCACAUUUUUGUGCUCAUGACAAUAUACUUCCCAAGUUUAAUUAGUUUGUUUACUUUUGUUACUAUUUUGCUACCACAUGAAAACAGCCCAUUGAAUACAGUGAUUUGUCUUGUGUUCACUUACUACAUACUGAAUCUGACAGUUAAUAGCUGAGGUGAAAAUAUGGUUUAGAAGAUGUUAAUUGAAUGUAGAGGAAUAAGAUUAACACUCAGCAACUGCAGUAUACUUUAUAGAAAAGUUAUGACUAAGAGAAAAUGGGAAGUAUAAUGAAAGACUCCUCGCAACUUUUAUUGAUACUACACGUAGAAUGCUUUCCUCUAUUGUCCAAUGUUUAACUUUUUUUCUUUGUGAGCAACAAAGUUUAAAAUUAAGACGAGACAGAUAUUUCUCAAACUGCAAUAAUUAGUGAUCUGUUUAAGUACUAUGUUUGUUCCUUGUAUUUUUUUUUUAUUAGAAAUAAGUCUGUAAAAUACGAGCACCCUACUUUUCAGGCAAAAUCUCUCCUAACUUUGUGCAUGGGGGACGGUGAUCGGGCAUGAAGAAUCUCGGCAUGCUAACAUCUGACCUUUCAGUAUUAUUGUUUCUGGUACUGUGUAUGUUGAAUGAUGUCUGUCUGCAAAUCACUCGAAGAACUAGAGAAUGUAUGAGGCCUUAUUUAUCAAAAUAGUGUAAUCUAUCAUAUGAGGUAAGUGUCCAAAUAAGGGGGUAAGAAUGUGUGUCAGUGGAAAGCUGAUCACUUUCCUAAGUUGUACAGAGAACUUAAAAAUCUAAGAGCACAAAAGUUUUGUCAAUAUUAAUCUGUAUUUUUCUCUGUUAUAUACUCCUUCAAGCUCAAAUUAAAUCUUCCCUAAAUGUGAACAUAUUAUAUGCAAGUUGUAGAAUUCACUCUAGGGAAGACAGAAACUUUCUAUGUAUUGAGUUUGACAAAAUCCACUUUUAUUUUAAAACAUUUUAACCAAGGAAGCACUCACUAGUGAUUAAAAUGUUAAUACUAAUCUUCAGUUUUGAUUAUUAAAUUGAAAUGUUUACUUGCUGCUUUUUGUGUGUAUAGAAGCUAGUGCUUCUGUCAGCAUGGGCUCCAGUUGAAGCAUUUUCUAGGUUUCUAAACAAGUAAAUUAUAUGAUCAAGUUUAACUAGGGGUUGUUGUUUUUUAUUUGUUUGGGUUUUUUUGCCUCCUGCUCCACUGUUCAGAAAGUCGAAAGGUUUUGUAUAACCGCUAAUAAAUGCAUUAGCUUCAGGAUCAG